rnacentral:rRNA from 1 species
UACGUAGGGGGCAAGCGUUGUCCGGAUUCAUUGGGCGUAAAGAGCUCGUAGGCGGCUCGAUCAGUCUGCUGUAAAAGUCAAAGGCUCAACCUUUGAAUGCCGGUGGAUACUGUCGGGCUAGAGUCCGGAAGAGGCGAGUGGAAUUCCUGGUGUAGCGGUGAAAUGCGCAGAUAUCGGGAGGAACACCAAUGGCGAAGGCAGCUCGCUGGGACGUUACUGACGCUGAGACGCGAAAGCGUGGGGAGCAAACAGG